rnacentral:misc_RNA from 1 species
AUUUAAACUAACACGCUCUGUGAUAUCAAUCCUGAACUGGCACCAUUUCCUCUUAGUUUACUGUAACCCACCACCAGCAACCACCGUCCUAUCCUCUUCUCUGAUUCAAGCUGCAGCAAGGAAUCUAAUAACACUCUGCCCUUUAGUGUGAUCUCUCUGAAGCAGCCAAUUUUGCUACAUUUUGGAAAUUGGCUUUACAUGGUUUUCUUUAUUUUUUUCCUCACUUUUAACUCUGUUUUCUUUAACUUUUUUCCUGGAAAAUAAAAAAAAGGCAGGCAUUUUUUCUCGGGAAAAAAAGGAGGGAUUUUUAACAGAAAGGGGAAUGUGGGUAUGUGGAGGGAUUGCUUUGUAGAGUCAGCAAACCCACUUUCUGGCUUUCCCUUGCUUCCCCUAUUAAAAAAGUUGUCUUUCUAGGCAACCCUUCUCUUUGGUUUUGAUCUUUUCACUGAGGACGAAUUUUUUUUUAAAAAAUAGCUUUGUUUGGUAGAGGAAAAUGUACAGAAACUGACCUGGGUCGGUCCUUAAAAAUUGAAUUUUUUACUUUAAUUUUGUUUAUUUCCUUACAUGGGUUUAUUUAUUUAUCAUUUUAAAGGAGGAAUUUCGGGUUUAGAUUAAUGGGGAUUCCAGUUCAUGUCUUGUCACCAAAACGCGUUCCGUAUCCGUGUUGAUGAUCUCUUCCUGAAGGUGGUGAUGCUGGUGGUUGUUUGUUUAGUGUCGCAAUCAGAUCUGCAUUUUUGGCACUGCUCAAAACACACAGCCAGACAUUCUUGCUGAUCGAGUCAGAAACUUUGGUAGUAAAUUGAGAGAUUAUUGAAUUUAAGUGUGAAGACUAUGAGUUUUCUUGUUCUGAAGUGAACGCGGGAGCACGGCUUUGUCAUUUUUUGAGAGAUCAUUGGUAUCAAGGAAGUUGCAUUUAGAUUGAAUUGGAUUGGAUAUAAACUGUAGCUCUUGAAGUGUACGAGCAUGAUAUGCUUUUGAGGCAAAUUAGUUGGUAAUUUGGAGGUCUUGGGCCCGGCAGCUAAGACAUCGGGGUCGUAGUAAAUGGCUUCCAGAGAAGGGAGGCGUCGACGUGAUAAUCUUGUGCCUCUUGCUGCUUUGAUCAGCAGAGAAAUGAACGAGAAGAUGGAGAAGCCAACUGUUCGAUAUGGUUAUGCAGCCCAGUCUAGAAAAGGAGAAGAUUAUUUCCUGAUUAAGACUGACUGCCAGCGAGUCCCAGGGAAUUCGUCAUCCACAUUUUCUGUGUUUGCGAUCUUUGAUGGGCAUAAUGGAAAUGCUGCAGCAAUAUUUACUAGGGAAAAUCUAUUGAAUCAUGUUUUGGGUGCUCUUCCUCGAGGGCUUGGGCGAGAGGAGUGGCUUCAAGCUUUACCUCGAGCAUUAGUUGCUGGAUUUGUGAAAACUGACAAGGAGUUCCAGAGCAGAGGAGAAACAUCAGGUACUACAGCAACGUUUGUGAUAGUUGAUGGAUGGACAGUUACUGUUGCAUCUGUUGGAGACUCACGUUGUAUUUUAGAUGCCCAGGGUGCUGCCAUUUCCGCCUUAACUGUGGAUCAUAGGCUUGAAGAGAAUGUGGAAGAGAGGGAACGUGUGACUGCAAGUGGUGGGGAAGUUGGAAGGCUUAGCAUUGUUGGUGGUGCUGAGAUUGGUCCCCUCCGUUGUUGGCCAGGAGGUUUAUGCCUUUCUAGGUCAAUUGGAGACAUGGAUGUUGGAGAGUUUAUAGUUCCAAUUCCAUAUGUCAAGCAAGUGAAGUUAUCUAAUGCAGGUGGUAGGCUCAUAAUCGCUUCUGAUGGAAUCUGGGAUGCCCUUUCCUCGGAAAUGGCAGCAAAAUCUUGCCAUGGGUUGCCAGCUGAACUUGCUGCUAGACAAGUUGUGAAGGAAGCAUUAAGGACAAGGGGACUAAAGGAUGACACGACAUGCAUAGUUGUUGACGUAAUUCCUCCUGACAAUUCAAUACAGCCCUCAACUCCUCCCAAGAAGCGGAACAAGCUCAGAACCUUGUUAUUCAGGAAGAAAUCACAUGAUUCUGCCAAUAAGCUCUCCAAAAAGCUUUCUGCUGUAGGUAUAGUGGAAGAACUGUUUGAAGAGGGCUCUGCAAUGCUUGCUGAAAGACUGGGGAAUGAUGAUUCCACCACGCACUCAACAUCUGGUCUUUUCACAUGUGCUGUAUGUCAAGUUGACCUUGCUCCGAGUGAGGGCAUCUCUGUUCAUGCCGGUUCAAUCUUCUCCACCAGCUCCAAGCCCUGGCAGGGGCCUUUCCUUUGUGCUGAUUGCCGCAAUAAGAAGGAUGCCAUGGAAGGAAAACGCCCGAGUGGAGUUAAAGUGGCAUAACUCCAUUGUUUCCUUCAUUCUAUAUCCCAUACAUUUUUUUUAAACCACAACCGCAAUUUGUAGGCCAGGCAAUUUGAUUGAAUUUCACUACCAUGGUGCCACAAAUGUAUAUGUAAUAUUCAAAUAAAAGGAAAUGAGUUUUAGCAUUUAAAGUAUAGUUGGUUUAAAAACACCUGGCUAUUUGGUUUCUUUAGAAAAUAUAGGAUAGGCUCAAUAAAGCCCAAGGCUUUGAUUUUUUUUCCUAUUCAGAUAAAUUUCCCAAGCUUGCAAAGCAGGUUGUCUGUGCCAAGCAAUCGAAGAACAGAAAAGGUGACACCAUUCAGAGGAAGGUUUUAUGUGCUGGGAAUGGGGAUCCAUUCCGCCGUUAUAGGGAAGAGAGGAGCUGCUGUUUCUGUCACGGGGAUGGAAAUGAUGCAUUCAUAUGGUUGCUGAGGCUGAAACUUAAAAAGGACGAUCAAAUUCAGAGCUGCAAUUUCAAAGGUGGGACUAGUAAUGGUGCCUACAUAUUCAUUACAGGGUUACGACAGAUUAGCUAGAUUCCCCUCCUUUUCUCUCUUGUGUUUUAAAGAACAAGGAAGACAAGAAGCAAGAUAUAUUUUACAUGUUAGCUGUCUUGUAUAUUCUGAUAGAUCCUGAAACUAGAUGUUCUAUUGUGGGAAAUAAGGCUUCUUAUCAGUAGUGACAUUUCAAUUAUGCUUUUAACAGUCCAUAUGCAAGGGGCUUUUUGGCUUUUUGCCAAACUAUGGGGAAAAACAUAUUGCUCAAACAUGUGUGCAUGGAAAAAUAAUUUACGAACCAAGGUGAAUUUGGCUAUGGC